rnacentral:piRNA from 1 species
UGUGGGACCCGGAGACAAAGGGG